GACAAAUAUCAAAAAAUUCAUCUAAAGAUGGAAGAAUUAUCCCAAUUAUUAAUAAAAAUAUUUAUCCUAUAACAAAUUCCAUUAUUCCAAAAAAACGCACGUAUCGAAAAACGAAUAAAAAUGAUAAAAUUAUUCCAGAAAAAUUGAGUUUUCAUAAGAAAAUUUUGGAACGCAAAAAUUCCGAAAUAAAAAAACAACUCUUUGAGAUAUCUUCUAAUACUUCUGCUCGACCAAAUUUAAAAAGACAUUCACCCGAAGAAGAUGAAAAAGUCAUAAAAAGUAUACAACUUUUAAAAUAUAAUUCAUUUUUAAAAAAUAAUAUAAUAAACGUUUUGAUUUUUGAAACAAAUAUGUAAUA